AUGCAGUUAGUUUGCUCGUCGGUUGUCCUUGAGACUCUUGGCUCGGAUUUUGACGAUUAUGUGUACUUGCCCGCGGUCGGGACCCGUGGCGGCAUCCUGUUGGCAUGGAAGAGUAGAGAGGUGGCCAUCACCGAUCCUCUUUUCACUACCAACGCCUUGUCUGCUAAGGUCUCCACCGCGUCUGGCGUUGGCACUCCAUGGUGGCUCACCGUUGUUUAUGGGCCCCAGCUAGACGACGACAAGGUUGCCUUCCUUCAAGAGCUCCGCGACAUCCGCGAUGAGUGCCCCGGACCGUGGAUGUUGUGCGGAGACUUCAACCUCAUAUAUUGCGACGAGGACAAGAACAACGGAACGUCAACCGCCGCAUGA
rnacentral:rRNA from 1 species